AGUGAACGUUGGCGGCGUGGAUUAGGCAUGCAAGUCGAGCGAGAACCGUAGCAAUACGGGGACAGCGGCGAAAGGGACAGUAAUGUGUAGGUACCUACCCCGAGGUCUGGGAUAGCUGCGGGAAACUGCAGGUAAUACCGGAUAAUGUCUUCGGACCAAAGGUGUGAUUCCACCUUGGGAGGGGCCUGCAUCCUAUUAGCUAGUUGGCGGGGUAAUGGCCCACCAAGGCAACGAUGGGUAGCGGGUGUGAGAGCACGACCCGCGUCAUUGGGACUGGGAUACUGCCCAGACACCUACGGGUGGCUGCAGUCGAGGAUCUUCGGCAAUGGGCGAAAGCCUGACCGAGCGACGCCGCGUGCGGGAUGAAGGCCUUCGGGUUGUAAACCGCUGUCGUAGAGGAGGAAAUGCAGGGGGGUUCUCCCUUCUGUUUGACCUAUUCUAGGAGGAAGGACGGGCUAAGUUCGUGCCAGCAGCCGCCGCGG
rnacentral:rRNA from 1 species